AGCGAACGCUGGCGGCAGGCCUAACACAUGCAAGUCGAACGAACCUUUCGGGGUUAGUGGCGGACGGGUGAGUAACACGUGGGAACGUGCCUUUAGGUUCGGAAUAACUCAGGGAAACUUGUGCUAAUACCGAAUGUGCCCUUCGGGGGAAAGAUUAAUCGCCUUUAGAGCGGCCCGCGUCUGAUUAGCUAGUUGGUUGAGGUAAUGGCCCACCAAGGCGACGAUCAGUAGCUGGUCUGAGAGGAUGAUCAGCCACAUUGGGACUGAGACACGGCCCAAACUCCUACGGGAGGCAGCAGUGGGGAAUCUUGCGCAAUGGGCGAAAGCCUGACGCAGCCAUGCCGGGUGAAUGAUGAAGGUCUUAGGAUUGUAAAAUUCUUUCACCGGGGACGAUAAUGACGGUACCCGGAGAAGAAGCCCCGGCUAACUUCGUG
rnacentral:rRNA from 1 species